UUUGGUCUGGACUAGAAAUAGUUUGGGCCCGAGGUUUACUGAACUAAACUUCAAUAUUUAUAUUGAAUUGUUAUUUAUUUAAUUGUCAAUUUGUUGAUUAAAUUCAAAAAAUCUUCAAAACUUUCAACAACGGAUCUCUUGGUUCUCGCAUCGAUGAAGAACGCAGCGAAAUGCGAUAAGUAAUAUGAAUUGCAGAUUUUCGUGAAUCAUCGAAUCUUUGAACGCACAUUGCGCCCUCUGGUAUUCCAGAGGGCAUGCCUGUUUGAGCGUCAUUUCUCUCUCAAACCUUCGGGUUUGGUAUUGAGUGAUACUCUUAGUCUUACUGGGCGUUUGCUUGAAAUGUAUUGGCAUGAGUGGUACUGGAUAGUGCUAUAUGACUUUCAAUGUAUUAGGUUUAUCCAACUCGUUGAAUAGUUUAAUGGUAUAUUUCUCGGUAUUCUAGGCUCGGCCUUACAAUAUAACAAACAAGUUUGACCUCAAAUCAGGUAGGAUUACCCGCUGAACUUAAGCAUAUCAAUAAGCGGAG
rnacentral:rRNA from 1 species